UUUCCUACGGGAGGCAGCAGUGGGGAAUAUUGCACAAUGGGGGAAACCCUGAUGCAGCGACGCCGCGUGAGUGAAGAAGUAAUUCGUUAUGUAAAGCUCUAUCAGCAGGGAAGAAAAUGACGGUACCUGAGUAAGAAGCCCCGGCUAACUACGUGCCAGCAGCCGCGGUAAUACGUAGGGGGCAAGCGUUAUCCGGAUUUACUGGGUGUAAAGGGAGCGUAGACGGAAAGGCAAGUCAGACGUGAAAACCCAAGGCUCAACCAUGGGACUGCUUUUGAAACUGCGUGGCUGG
rnacentral:rRNA from 1 species